GUCGAGCGAGGUUACUGUUUUGGAUCCCUUCGGGGUGAAGAAGCUUUAACCUAGCGGCGGACGGGUGAGUAACGCGUGGGUAACCUACCCCAAAGUCCGGGAUAACAGCGGGAAACCGCUGCUAAUACCGGAUGCCUUUACCUUGGGGCAUCUUGAGGUAAAGAAAGGCAACGCUUUGGGAUGGGCCCGCGUCCCAUUAGCUAGUUGGUGAGGUAACGGCUCACCAAGGCGACGAUGGGUAGCCGGCCUGAGAGGGUGGACGGCCACACUGGGACUGAGACACGGCCCAGACUCCUACGGGAGGCAGCAGUAGGGAAUAUUGCGCAAUGGACGGAAGUCUGACGCAGCGACGCCGCGUGAGCGAUGAAGGUCUUCGGAUCGUAAAGCUCUGUCCUUGGGGAAGAAGGUCUUCGGACUUGACGGUACCCAAGAAGAAAGCCCCGGCUAACUACGUGCCAGCAGCCGCGGUAAUACGUAGGGGGCGAGCGUUGUCCGGAAUUACUGGGCGUAAAGGGUGCGUAGGCGGCCCUUUAAGUCGGAUGUGAAAGCCCGCGGCUUAACCGCGGAAUGGCAUUCGAAACUGGAGGGCUUGAGUGUCGGAGAGGGUAGUGGAAUUCCCAGUGUAGCGGUGAAAUGCGUA
rnacentral:rRNA from 1 species